ACGGCGAGUGAAGCGGUAAAAGCUCAAAUUUGAAAUCUGGUACUUUCAGUGCCCGAGUUGUAAUUUGUAGAAUUUGUCUUUGAUUAGGUCCUUGUCUAUGUUCCUUGGAACAGGACGUCAUAGAGGGUGAGAAUCCCGUUUGGCGAGGAUACCUUUUCUCUGUAAGACUUUUUCGAAGAGUCGAGUUGUUUGGGAAUGCAGCUCAAAGUGGGUGGUAAAUUCCAUCUAAAGCUAAAUAUUGGCGAGAGACCGAUAGCGAACAAGUACAGUGAUGGAAAGAUGAAAAGAACUUUGAAAAGAGAGUGAAAAAGUACGUGAAAUUGUUGAAAGGGAAGGGCAUUUGAUCAGACAUGGUGUUUUUUGCAUGCACUCGCCUCUCGUGGGCUUGGGCCUCUCAAAAAUUUCACUGGGCCAACAUCAAUUCUGGCAGUAGGAUAAAUCAUUAAGAAUGUAGCUACCUCGGUAGUGUUAUAGCUUAUUGGAAUACUGCUAGCUGGGAUUGAGGACUGCGCUUCGGCAAGGAUGUUGGCAUAAUGGUUAAAUGCCGCCCGUCUUGA
rnacentral:rRNA from 1 species